CCUCAAUAAAACCUGUGAGAGACACAGCAGAGAUUUUAGAGUGGAUGGACAAAUAUACUGAAUAUUUAAUCUACUGUGGAACUGAACUGCAGCUUAUCAAAAUGAAGCAGUUGUGUCUCUCCAGCGUGCAGGAGCUGAAGUUGA